rnacentral:rRNA from 1 species
AACGAACGCUGGCGGCAGGCAAAACACAUGCAAGUCGAAGGAGAAGCAGGACUUCGGUUCUGUGGACACUGGCGAACGGGUGUGUAACGCGUGGGAACCUACCCUGGGGUGGGGGACAACCACUGGAAACGGUGGCUAAUACCGCAUACGCCCUCCGGGGGAAAACUUUUGUGCCCUGGGAUGGUCCCGCGUCGGAUUAGCUAGUUGGUGGGGUAACGGCCUACCAAGGCGACGAUCCGUAACUGGUCUGAGAGGAUGAUCAGUCACACUGGAACUGAGACACGGUCCAGACUCCUACGGGAGGCAGCAGUGGGGAAUAUUGGACAAUGGGGGCAACCCUGAUCCAGCCAUGCCGCGUGGGUGAAGAAGGCCUUAGGGUUGUAAAACCCUUUCAGCGGGGAAGAUGAUGACGGUACCCGCAGAAGAAGCCCCGGCUAACUCCGUGCCAGCAGCCGCGGUAAUACGGAGGGGGCUAGCGUUGUUCGGAAUUACUGGGCGUAAAGGGCGUGUAGGCGGUCUAUCGAGUCAGGCGUGAAAGCCCCGGGCUUAACCUGGGAACUGCGUUUGAUACUGAUAGACUAGAGGUUGGAAGAGGAGAGUGGAAUUCCCAGUGUAGAGGUGAAAUUCGUAGAUAUUGGGAAGAACACCAGUGGCGAAGGCGGCUCUCUGGUCCAUACCUGACGCUGAGGCGCGAAAGCGUGGGGAGCAAACAGGAUUAGAUACCCUGGUUAGUCCACGCCGUAAAACGAUGUGUGCCUAGACGUCGGGUGUUCAGCAUUUCGGUGUCGGGA